AUGGGUGGGGCAGUGGGUAAGAGCACUGGUUGCUCUUCCAGAAGACCUGGGUUCAAAUCCCAGCACCCACA
rnacentral:tRNA from 1 species